GACGAACGCUGGCGGCGUGCUUAACACAUGCAAGUCGAACGGAAAGGCCCUGCUUUUGUGGGGUGCUCGAGUGGCGAACGGGUGAGUAACACGUGAGUAACCUGCCCUUGACUUUGGGAUAACUUCAGGAAACUGGGGCUAAUACCGGAUAGGAGCUCCUGCUGCAUGGUGGGGGUUGGAAAGUUUCGGCGGUUGGGGAUGGACUCGCGGCUUAUCAGCUUGUUGGUGGGGUAGUGGCUUACCAAGGCUUUGACGGGUAGCCGGCCUGGGAGGGUGGCCGGCCACAUUGGGACUGAGAUACGGCCCAGACUCCUACGGGAGGCAGCAGUGGGGAAUAUUGCACAAUGGGCUGAAGCCUGAUGCAGCAACGCCGCGUGCGGGAUGACGGCCUUCGGGUUGUAAACCGCUUUCGCCUGUGACGAAGCGUGAGUGACGGUAAUGGGUAAAGAAGCACCGGCUAACUACGUG
rnacentral:rRNA from 1 species